rnacentral:rRNA from 1 species
GAUGAACGCUGGCGGCGUGCUUAAUACAUGCAAGUCGAGCGAACAGACGCGGCGCUUGCUCCUCUCACGUUAGCGGAGGACGGGUGUGUAACACGUGGAUCACCUACCUAUCAGACUGGGAUCAUUUCGGGAAACCGGCGAUAAUACCGGAUAAUAUAUUGCACCGCAUGGUGCAAUAGAGAAAGUCGGCUUUGCUGACACGACUAGCUGGUUCCGGGCCGCAUUAGCUAGUUGGGAGGGUAACGGCUUACCAAGGCAACGAUGCGUAGCCGACCUGAGAGGUGGAUCGCCCACCUGAGAGCGUAGCCACGGUCAAUGGUCCUGCGGGAGGGAGCAGUAGGGUACGGUCCGCAGUAGGCGGAAGCCUGGCAGAGUGACGCCGAGCGUGUGAUGAAGGUCCUCGGAUCGUAAAACUCUGUUAUUAGGGAUAAACAACUGUGUAAGUAACUGAGCACGGCUUGACGGUAACUGGUAAAGAAGCCACGGCUAACUACGUG